rnacentral:rRNA from 1 species
UACAGAGGGUGCAAGCGUUGUUCGGAAUUACUGGGCGUAAAGGGCGCGUAGGCGGCCUUCUAAGUCGAACGUGAAAUCCCUGGGCUCAACCCAGGAACUGCGUCCGAUACUGGGAGGCUUGAAUCCGGGAGAGGGAUGCGGAAUUCCAGGUGUAGCGGUGAAAUGCGUAGAUAUCUGGAGGAACACCGGUGGCGAAGGCGGCAUCCUGGACCGGUAUUGACGCUGAGGCGCGAAAGCCAGGGGAGCAAACGGG